rnacentral:tRNA from 1 species
GAGGGUGUAGGUCAGUGGUAGAGUGUGUACUUAGCGUGCAUGAUGUCCUGGGUUCCAUCCCCAGCACCUCCA